rnacentral:rRNA from 1 species
AUGUGUGUCUCAAAAGACCAAGGAGGUAUGUGCUUCUGAGAUAUACACUAUUUCAAUCUGGCUUUGUUAGCCAGCUAAGCAUGGCGUUUUCUUGAUAAUCCUGAUUUCUUACGUGACACUAUCUUAAGAUCUAAAUAUUUUCCGAGUGGCAAUUUAAUGAAUGCAAGUCUAAAAACGAUUUCCUAUUUUACUUGGCAAAGCAUUGUGGCGGGAGUUAAUUCUCUCCAAAAUGGUUAUAUCUAG